rnacentral:rRNA from 1 species
CCCUUAGAUGUUCGGGGCCGCACGCGCGCUACACUGAAGGAAUCAGCACGUCUUUCUCCUUGUCCGAAAGGUCUGGGUAACCCGCUGAACCUCCUUCGUGCUAGGGAUUGGGGCUUGUAAUUCUUCCCCAUGAACGAGGAAUUCCCAGUAAGCGCGAGUCAUAAGCUCGCGUUGAUUACGUCCCUGCCCUUUGUACACACCGCCCGUCGCUACUACCGAUUGGAUGGUUUAGUGAGAUCCUCGGAUUGGUCCCGGCGCGGCCUCUGGUCGUGCCGGAGUGCCGAAAAGAAUGUCGAACUUGAUCAUCUAGAGGAAGUAAAAGUCGUAACG